rnacentral:rRNA from 1 species
GUGAGGAAUAUUGGUCAAUGGGCGAGAGCCUGAACCAGCCAAGUAGCGUGCAGGACGACGGCCCUAUGGGUUGUAAACUGCUUUUGCGCGGGGAUAAAGUGCGCCACGUGUGGCUCAUUGCAGGUACCGCGCGAAUAAGGACCGGCUAAUUCCGUGCCAGCAGCCGCGGUAAUACGGAAGGUCCGGGCGUUAUCCGGAUUCAUUGGGUUUAAAGGGAGCGCAGGCCGCCCCUUAAGCGUGUUGUGAAAUGCCGCGGCUCAACCGUGGCACUGCAGCGCGAACUGGGGGGCUUGAGUGCGCGCAGCGCAGGCGGAACUCGUGGUGUAGCGGUGAAAUGCUUAGAUAUCACGAAGAACUCCGAUCGCGAAGGCAGCCUGCGGGAGCGCAACUGACGCUGAGGCUCGAAAGUGCGGGUAUCGAACAGGAUUAGAAACCCUAGUAGUCC